CGUAGGGCGCAAGCGUUGUCCGGAAUUAUUGGGCGUAAAGAGCUCGUAGGCGGCUUGUCACGUCGGGUGUGAAAGCCCGGGGCUUAACCCCGGGUCUGCAUUCGAUACGGGCUAGCUAGAGUGUGGUAGGGGAGAUCGGAAUUCCUGGUGUAGCGGUGAAAUGCGCAGAUAUCAGGAGGAACACCGGUGGCGAAGGCGGAUCUCUGGGCCAUUACUGACGCUGAGGAGCGAAAGCGUGGGGAGCGAACAGGAUUAGAUACCCUGGUGGUCCACGCCGUAAACGGUGGGAACUAGGUGUUGGCGACAUUCCACGUCGUCGGUGCCGCAGCUAACGCAUUAAGUUCCCCGCCUGGGGAGUACGGCCGCAAGGCUA
rnacentral:rRNA from 1 species